GCGGCCGCAGAGCGCCGCCGCCUCGUCCGUGGAGGAGCCCUGCUGCUGUCGGUGGCUGCUGUUACUGGGCAUUAAAUCCUCGCCGCUGGGGCGCGCGUGUGCGCGUGUCCGCGUGUGAAAAGGCGCCGGCGAUGAUGGGGGUCAGCACUGUGGUGUAGUGGGUAAAGCCACUGCCUGCAGUGCCAGCAUCCCAUAUAGGUGCCGGUUCGAGUCCUGGCUGCUCCACUUCCGAUCCAGCUCUCUGCUAUGGCCUGGGAAAGCAGUGGAAGAUGGCCCAAGUCCUUGGGCCCCUGCACCCACGUGGAGGACCUGGAAGAAGCUCCUGGCUCCUGGCUUCAGAUCAGCACAGCUCCAGCCUUUGAGGCCAACGGGGGAGUUGGAAGACCUCUCUCUCUCUCUCUCUCUCCCCACCUCUCCUCCUCUCUGUGUAACUCUGAUUUUCAAAUAAAUAAAUGAAUCUUUAAAAAAAUAA